GGAAGGAGUUUGAAUUGAAGCUUUUGGACUUUCUAAAGCUUGGUUUUCAAGAUUUCUUCAAUAUUGAGAUUUGAGCUUGGAUUGAAGUGUGGAGAUAGGAGGAGAAGGGAUUGAGCAAGGGUUUGAAGAAUUGACUAAGGUUAUUUGAACUUGGAGAAGUGGUUGCUAGAGUUGUGGUGAGGUUGUUGCUCAAACGAGGUAGAGAUUUUCUUAACCCUUA